AUGAAAUGCAAGGGCGCUCUUUUUAGAGGUCCGACCACUUCAUCCUUUCACCCUGUGCACUAUACAUUUUUACACCAUUUAUACACAUAAGUUUUAAGAAUGUAACUGUCUCUUAAUUGAGCAUAACCCUUUA
rnacentral:misc_RNA from 1 species